CACCAUCAUUCCUCUAGGGGCAGUAGAACGACUUUGCUGCUCAUUUCAAAAUGGCUUCCUCCGUGAGAUCUUUUGGAGGGAAAAGUUUUGCUAGCUUUUAAAGCUUUAUGGAACAGCAACAAGCGGCGGGAUCCGCUACCUCGCGAGGUCAGGUUUUCUAAACAUGCCCUGCUGACACACCGGAUCAUCUCUCGCUGUGUCUGCUGAAUGUAGGUGAAGACUCACCCGUCGCAUGUGGUGACUGACAGGUGAGGACAGAGAUGCUGUUUUAACUGAUACACAGAAGUGCAAGCUCUCAAUAGUUUAGAGAUCCACGUGCUUUUGAUAUGUUCUUGUGAUAUAUUUAAAGAUUUUUUUUAAAUUGUAGUGAAUCAGGAGGAGGUGGGCAAAGGUAUCAUGGGAAGUGAGUGCAGGCUUACUCUCCACUAUGAACUAACAACACAGGUUUUUUAGAUUUUAGCUAAAAACAGCAUAAUCAGUUUAAAAAAAACAUCCAGAAAGCUUUUAGAAAAUAUGAUCAGAGUGGGACUUCUCCUACUCUUUUUACCCAACCUCCCUUACCCCAGCUGUUAAUAUCCUGUCUCUAGCCUCCAUACUUAUUCAUCCCCUCUCCUCAAACCCCACAAAACUCACUCUUGCCCUCCUCCUCCCCGUCCUCUCUUUCCCCAUUGCAGAUAAAAUUCAAGGGGACUGCAGUCAGAGCCUUCUCACCCUCCAUGUUAUGUAACCACCCUCAUUAUUCCUCCAUGCGUUAAAAACAAAAGUCAGCAACCGAAGAGGAAAGCCCUCCUUACGCAGCAGGUGCCCUGAAACGCCGUCCGGCUACCGCCUCAAUAUUUCAGGAGUUUUUUUUUGUUUUUUUUUUAGUUACACAAGGCAGCUGCAGUGGAAUAUUCCUGAGGGCUGCGACUUCUUGGGCUGAUCCUAACCUUUCCUGUUCAUCCAGAUGAGCCCGGGGCAACUGUUGUCCUGCCUUUCAUUCCUAUGGUUAUGACAAAGUUACAUGCCUCUCAAACGCACACUUUGAUUUCCUGAAGGAUUUCGCUCUUAAUAAGGUUCUGAGAGGCAAAAAAGUUUAAAACCGUUCAUUUAGUGAAACCUUACCAUCUAAAGCGACUAAGUGAAAUUACAGAAGGUCAGUUUUAUUUUAGGUCAGUUCGUAAGUUAUUGUUUUAAUAUUUUUUUUCUAGAAAAGCAUCUUGGCCCAUGCAGUGAUUCAGAACGACAUGGCGUAUAAAACAGGCUUAGCUGUGACCUUGUGAGGAGGAGCUGCACCGUCAUGUCCGCAGCACUCUGUUUUCAUGCGUUUGUGUCUGCGAGUGUGAUAUAACGUCAGGAAUUCCUCUUGCGGUCCUGUGAGUUUUUCCUCCAUGGUGAGAACAGACUGUCCAGGGCCAUCUUUUUUACUUCUCCAUAUAUAAACCAUGAGGAGGAGGGAGGAGGAGGAGGAGACAAGGGCACAUUUGCUGAUACGUCGAGUGCGUCUUUGCCCUCAAGGGUUUGAGGUCUAAUAAAAAAAUGUAUUUGAAAUUGCAAAGUUUAUAAUCGUAGCCAGUUUUUUUUUCAAGCAUUUCUUUCUGAGGCAAAUAUACAUUUUUCAUAACCUGCUGAAUUAUUUUGGGGGUUGCUGGAGCCUAUCCCAGCUACUGUUGGGUCUGAUCAGGUCUGUUGCACACUCGUUCACAUGCACACCUAGGGGCAAUUUAGAGUAAUCAAUUCACCAAUGAAGCAUGUGUUUGCACUGUGGGAGGAAGCCGGAGUGCACAGGGAGAACAUGCAAAUUCCACAAAAAGGGUCAAAGCUGGGAUUCAAACCAGGGUCUUCUAGCUGUGAGGCAAGAGCUCUAACCACUGUACAGCUCUAAUUAACCUAAAAAAACAUAUAA